rnacentral:rRNA from 1 species
AUACGGAGGAUGCGAGCGUUAUCCGGAUUUAUUGGGUUUAAAGGGUGCGUAGGCGGCCUUGUAAGUCAGCGGUGAAAUUUUGCAGCUUAACUGUAAAAGUGCCGUUGAUACUGUGAGGCUAGGAUUUGGUUGCUGUGGGUGGAAUGUGUGGUGUAGCGGUGAAAUGCUUAGAGAUCACACAGAAUAUCGAUUGCGAAGGCAGCUCACAAAGCCAAGAUUGACGCUGAGGCACGAAAGUGUGGGGAUCAAACAGGAUUAGAUACCCUGGUAGUCCACGCAGUAAACGAUGAUGGCUAACCGCUGGGCUUAUCAGUUCAGUGGCCAAGCGAAAGCGAUAAGCCAUCCACCUGGGGAGUACGACCGCAAGGUUGAAACUCAAAGGAAUUGACGGGG